AGCGAACGCUGGCGGCAGGCCUAACACAUGCAAGUCGAACGAACCCUUCGGGGUUAGUGGCGGACGGGUGAGUAACACGUGGGAACGUGCCUUUAGGUUCGGAAUAGCUCAGGGAAACUUGUGCUAAUACCGAAUGUGCCCUUCGGGGGAAAGAUUUAUCGCCUUUAGAGCGGCCCGCGUCUGAUUAGCUAGUUGGUGAGGUAAUGGCUCACCAAGGCUACGAUCAGUAGCUGGUCUGAGAGGAUGACCAGCCACAUUGGGACUGAGACACGGCCCAAACUCCUACGGGAGGCAGCAGUGGGGAAUCUUGCGCAAUGGGCGAAAGCUUGACGCAGCCAUGCCGCGUGGAUGAUGAAGGUCUUAGGAUUGUAAAAUCCUUUCACCGGUGAAGAUAAUGACUGUAGCCGGAGAAGAAGCCCCGGCUAACUUCGUGCCAGCAGCCGCGGUAACAC
rnacentral:rRNA from 1 species